rnacentral:rRNA from 1 species
GAUGAACGCUGGCGGCGUGCCUAAUACAUGCAAGUAGAACGCUGAAGGCAGGAGCUUGCUCUUUCCGGGUGAGUUGCGCACGGGUGAGUAACGCGUAGGUAACCUGCCUGGUAGCGGGGGAUAACUAUUGGAAACGAUAGCUAAUACCGCAUAACAGUAGAUUUUGCAUGAUAUCUACUUAAAAGUUGCAAUUUCACCACUACCAGAUGGACCUUCGUUGUAUUAGCUAGUUGGUGAGGUAACGGCUCACCAAGGCGACGAUACAUAGCCGACCUGAGAGGGUGAGCGGCCAGACUGGGACGGAGACACGGCCCAGACGGCCACGGGAAGGAGCAGUAGGGAAACGGCGGGAAGGGACGGAAGUCUGAGCGAGCAACGCCGAGGGAGUGAAGAAGGUUGUCGGAUCGUAAAGCUCUGUUGUAAGGGAAGAAAGAGUGUGAGAGUGGAAAGUUCAGACAGUGACGGUAACUUACCAGAAAGGGACGGCUAACUACGUG